AUUGAACGCUGGCGGAAUGCUUUACACAUGCAAGUCGAGCGGCAGCGCGGGGGCAACCCUGGCGGCGAGCGGCGAACGGGUGAGUAACACAUCGGAACAUGUCCAGUCGUGGGGGAUAGCCCGGCGAAAGCCGGAUUAAUACCGCAUACGCUCGGAAGAGGAAAGCGGGGGACCGCAAGGCCUCGCGCGAUUGGGUUGGCCGAUGUCCGAUUAGCUUGUUGGUGGGGUAAAGGCUUACCAAGGCGAUGAUCGGUAGCUGGUCUGAGAGGAUGAUCAGCCACACUGGGACUGAGACACGGCCCAGACUCCUACGGGAGGCAGCAGUGGGGAAUUUUGGACAAUGGGGGCAACCCUGAUCCAGCCAUUCCGCGUGAGUGAAGAAGGCCUUCGGGUUGUAAAGCUCUUUUGUCCGGAGCGAAACGGGCGCGGUGAAUAUCCGCGUCUACUGACGGUACCGGAAGAAUAAGCACCGGCUAACUACGUG
rnacentral:rRNA from 1 species